UACGGAGGGUGCAAGCGUUAUCCGGAUUCACUGGGUUUAAAGGGUGCGUAGGCGGGUUGGUAAGUCCGUGGUGAAAUCCCCAAGCUUAACUUGGGAACUGCCGUGGAUACUAUCAAUCUUGAAUAUCGUGGAGGUAAGCGGAAUAUGUCAUGUAGCGGUGAAAUGCUUAGGUAUGACAUAGAACACCAAUUGCGUAGGCAGCUUACUACACGAUCAUUGACGCUGAGGCGCGAAAGCGUGGGGAGCAAACAGG
rnacentral:rRNA from 1 species